rnacentral:ncRNA from 1 species
GGCGGGAUGUGGGUAGGGUCGGCAGGGGACCGCCCUCCCUCAUUUCCACCGCGGCAGUACGCGGUGACCAGCUCUGGGUCCGGGACGGCUGGGAAGGCUGCUCCUGGACGGUAUGAGGCCGGUAGGGGCUCCUAGCGCGCCCGGCCGGGUUUUCCCGGAGUUGGGUUGCUUGGGAAUGCAGCCCAAAGCGGGUGGUAAACUCCAUCUAAGGUUAAAUACUGGCACGAGAUCGAUAGUCAACAAGUACUGUAAGG